GAGAAAUCAGGGAGAAAAGGUAGGAAGAAAUUGCCAUAAAAGUGAGAGAUGAGAAUUGCACGGAGGGGUUGGUACCGAGAAGAUGGUAAGAAGUGGUGAAAGGUAUUAUAUUUAUAUAUCACAUCAAGACCAUAAAGGAAUUUGGUAUCUGAGUAAGGGAUGUAUUUGUCCUUUACGGAGAAGCAGGAGCUCUCUACUGCACCGUGCGUGAAUGAACAACUUGGAUCCUCUGUCUUGGAGAUGUUAAAUGCCAAAAAUGCAGGAGAAGGGAGUCCUCAGCAGAAAAAGCAGAAGCCAGUAACUUUCAUGCAGAGUGGAGCUGAGAUGCAAUCAUGGCAGAGUGGGAAACAAGCCCCUGCUAUCCAGGAGAAGGACAUAACCUGGUAUCUGAAGUUAUGUUGAAUUCUAAACAAGCUUUCAGGCUCUGAAUUUUUUAACUUCUUUGUGAAGCCAAAAUACCUGGCUGUUUAUAAGUUCUUGUAAACACAGGCUACUUGGUGAUCAGGGUCAUCAUUCUUAUUGUAGUAUAUAUCCCACAAAAACAAGUAUUACAGGGGAAACUUACAUUUGCCCCUUAUAACUUAAACUGCCGGUAUUCUCUUGUUCUGGUCUUCCCAGGCACUUUUAUUUUCUCAUGCUUAUUUUCAGAUGGACUUCAUCCACUCAGCCUCUACCAGCUUCACUCUGAUUACGUCCACAUGUAUUGUGCAGAGUCUUUCAUGUCCAAACUCUAGCAAAACUCUUAAACCAUUACCCAUUAGUUCAGCUGUGGGAGUAGUUUUGCAUUUAAAGAAACAUGACCCAAACAGGAAUUUUAAUCUUAUCUCUUUAAUGAGCUCAAGCACUUUGUACAUAUCCUAUCUUAUCAAAGUUUCUACCCUCUUGGAUUCUCUGGCAUGUCUAAACUCCAGAAUGGGUCUUGCUCUAUAAAUUUAUUUUGCAUUAUUUAAAAAAAAUAGUAGCAUAUGUUUGUGAUGCAUAAUAAUUACAAAUUCCAUUUGACCAAAAUAUACCUCAUAUCUUCCCCAAAAGAGUUAGAGUCCUCAUAUUACAGUCACCCUCCUAAUUUCAACUGUGGCAGUCCCAAGUAGUGAUUACCAGAGUCUUUAGCUAGGGUGAACAAAUACCCUGGUUUUUUAUUUGUUGAUUCAUCAUUAUCAUUAAUAGUGCCCCUGCCGCUCACAAGUGCCUCAGUGUAGACUGUAACUUUGUGGUUACUCGCGCUUACUGUUUCAUCUCUGGUUCCAAUAAUUUCCAGUAAACUCUUCCAAAGUAACCUUUAAUCUAAGUUCUCUCUUUUAUAAUGCUCGCAGCUCCCACAUUCUCCUUGUGUCUUACAAACUUCCUAUAGGGAGUGUACUCUACUCUGAUAGCUUAUCUCGUAAGAAUGCAUCCGUGCAUCCUUGUUCUUGCUCUCCUCAGAGAUUAGAGAGGAAGCAAACUGUGAGCUCCUACACAUUAAUAACUUUAUCUUAUCACAUUCUGUGUAUCCUACACCCUGGUAUCUUCCUUUCUGCAGAAAUAUUGGAUAGCUCAUGGCUCCCCUUACUGAAUAAAGUAAGUCCUUUCCCAAGGGUUAGAGCACAACUUUCUCAUCAGUCCCAGGAUUUGGUAAAUGGAGCCACCCAUAUGGCUAUGGAUGAAAGUGAAGGGUCUGAGGUCAGACUUCCAGGGUGUGAAUCCUGAUCUCAUCAUUCACAAACUUCCUGCCCCUGAGCAAAAAAAUUAGGCUCUCAGGAGCACUCUCAACUAUUAGUAUUGUAAAGAUGAGAACAGUAGGUACCUCAUAGGAUCAUGAAGCUUAAACAAGAUGAUAUACACAAGAAUUUAAUCUCCAGCACAUUAGAAGUGCUCUCUAUAUUAGUUAUUAUGCUUUUCUCAUGCAUGAAGUUCAUCCUCUUUUAAAACCAUUUUUAAAUUAUCACUGCUGUCACGGUCUUAUUUAACACCCUCUAGAUUGUUUGCCCUUUCCGAAGACUUAGGUGUAUGUUUGCCUUUUCUCUGAACCUGAACCCCAUUGUCCAAACACCUUUACUCCAUGGUUCCAUACCUGUUGAGAUCCCUUUCACCUUUGCUUCUUUGUAUCUUUGCCCACUGGCAAGAGAACUAAUAUGCUUCAGUGUACAUAGCAAGGUUGUGACUUUUGUUUGCAGGUCAUGGUCUCCUCCAUUUAUCACUAAUCCUUGUGGCUAAAUAGGAGACCCAGCAUUAAAACUUAGAUCCUAGAAUUCAUACUUUAACCAUCAUGUCUCACUGCCUCUUUAAUAGCAAAGAACUAGUGUCUGCCAAAUUUAUACUAGAUCAUGUUACUUUUUUCUAGUUUGAGCUCUUGAUACAAAU